GAUGAACGCUGGCGGCGUGCCUAAUACAUGCAAGUCGAGCGAACAGACGAGGAGCUUGCUCCUCUGACGUUAGCGGCGGACGGGUGAGUAACACGUGGAUAACCUACCUAUAAGACUGGGAUAACUUCGGGAAACCGGAGCUAAUACCGGAUAAUAUAUUGAACCGCAUGGUUCAUUAGUGAAAUACGGUUUUUCCGUCACUUAUAGAUGGAUCCGCGCCGCAUUAGCUAGUUGGUAAGGUAACGGCUUACCAAGGCAACGAUGCGUAUCCGACCUGAGAGGGGGAUCGGCCAAACUGGAAGUGAGACACGGACAAGAGGACUACGGGAGGAAGCAGAAGGGAAUAGGACGCAAUGGGCGAAAGCAUGACGGAGCAAAGCCGCGUGAGUGAUGAAGGUCUUCGGAUCGUAAAACUCUGUUAUUAGGGAAGAAAAAAUGUGUAAGUAAAUAUGCACGUAUUGACGGUACCUAAUAAGAAAGCAACGGCUAACUACGUG
rnacentral:rRNA from 1 species